rnacentral:SRP_RNA from 1 species
GCCGGCCGCGGUGGCGCGUGCCUGUAGUCCCAGCUACUCAGGAGGCUGAGGCUGGAGGAUCGCUUGAGCCCGGGAGUUCUGGGCUGUCGUGCGCUAUGCUGAUUGAUUGGGUGUCCGCACUAAGUUCGGCAUCAAUAUGGUGACCUCCCGGGAGCGGGGGACCACCAGGUUGCCUAAGGAGGGAUGAACCUGCCCAGGUCAGAAACGGAGCAGGUCAAAAUUCCCGUGCUCAUCAGUAGUGGGAUCGCGCCUGUGAAUAGCCACUUCACUCCAGCCUGGGCAACAUAGCGAAACACCUUCUCU